rnacentral:rRNA from 1 species
CCACCACUAAGCCAGUGGUGAACUCCACAUACGCAUCCUUUGCUGAGGAUACGGUUAACGGAGCGAAAGCGACGUUCAACCGCAAAAGAAGCAGAGGGGGCUUAGUGGUGGGGUGACUGCGUACCUUUUGUAUAAUGGGUCAGCGACUUAUAUUCUGUAGCAAGGUUAACCGUAUAGGGGAGCCGGAGGGAAACCGAGUCUUAACCGGGCGUUAAGUUGCAGGGUAUAGACCCGAAACCCGGUGAUCUAGCCAUGGGCAGGUUGAAGGUUGGGUAACACUAACUGGAGGACCGAACCGACUAAUGUUGAAAAAUUAGCGGAUGACUUGUGGCUGGGGGUGAAAGGCCAAUCAAACCGGGAGAUAGCUGGUUCUCCCCGAAAGCUAUUUAGGUAGCGCCUCGUGAAUUCAUCUUCGGGGGUAGAGCACUGUUUCGGCUAGGGGGUCAUCCCGACUUACCAACCCGAUGCAAACUGCGAAUACCGGAGAAUGUUAUCACGGGAGACACACGGCGGGUGCUAACGUCCGUCGUGAAGAGGGAAACAACCCAGACCGCCAGCUAAGGUCCCAAAGUCAUGGUUAAGUGGGAAACGAUGUGGGAAGGCCCAGACAGCCAGGAUGUUGGCUUAGAAGCAGCCAUCAUUUAAAGAAAGCGUAAUAGCUCACUGGUCGAGUCGGCCUGCGCGGAAGAUGUAACGGGGCUAAACCAUGCACCGAAGCUGCGGCAGCGACACUCAGG